rnacentral:lncRNA from 1 species
CUUCAGUAAGACCGUGCACUUGCGGUUUUAUCUCAUCAAGUUUUUGGCGCCGCUGCCGGGGAGUAAACUAAUUUGAUUAACUCUUUCUUUGUGAUUAGAACUCUUUUCUCUUCCUCUUUUCUUCUACUUCUUAAUGGGACUAAGGAAUUAAUGGGACCGAGCAACAAAGGCAAGGUGUUGAAUUAAUGGGACUAAGGAAUGAGAUCCAAAGGGGCAACCGCAUAUCCGAAGAAAAUAACCAAAUGCUUCGGAACAUGAUGCACCACUUUCACCUCCAAGGUCCUCCAUAUGGACCUCAAUGAUAAAAAUGUGAGCUUUCCUCUUCCUCUCUUCCCUUCUUUCUCCUUCUCCUCCUUCUUCUUUUUCUUCUUUUUCUUCUUCUUCUUCUUCCUCUCCUUCUCUUUUAUUUUUCUAUCUUGAAUCAUUGAGGACAAUGCUUCUCCUAAGUGUGGGGGGAGCCUAAUAAAGUGUCUUUAGUCGUAGUGUUUCCAAACUCCUUUGAACUUUAUUCUUUUGUUUUGUUUUAUUGUAAAAGGCAUGAAUAAGCAGCUUGUGUUUAUUGUUUUAUUAUGACAUAAAUUUUUUUGUUGUCUCUUCAAUGGUCGUUUCUUGUACAUGAAAGUGAUUUCUUGUGUUAUAAGUAUUCUUGCUAUACCCACAUCAUGUUUUAUUGUGAAAUCAAUUCUCCAAUGAGAAAAGCACCUAGUUGCAAUCCUUGAGUAAGUGUAUGAGUAGGUAUUUUAAGGAACACGUUCUAGCUUUAAUGGUAACCUGGACCCUUAAAAAUCUUCAGAGUAAACGUAGUAUAAGUUUGUGUGGGAAUAAUUCUAAUGGGAUGAAAUGUGUAAACCGAAAAUGGGGCAGAAGGAUAUCACCAGCACGUGGAGGAAAGGAUACCCUCUCACCGACUUCCUAAAUGUGGUGAUGACUUCUCAAACAAAUUGUGCUUGAAUUAAACCCUCUAAAAAGAGGAACUUCCUAAGUGAAGUAAACAAGUUGUAGCACUACCUAGGGUGAUCAUAGAAACUUGGAGGAAAUGAUACCCCCUCACGGACUUCCAAUGUGAAAUGAUAGCCCCUAGGCAUCUACAAGCCCCCAAAUGUAUAAAUUCAUCAAAUCUAUCUUACUCUCCCACCUCUCUUAUAUGAAAUGAAGAAAAUAUUUUUCUCGGUCAUUUUAGUGUUAAGAUUAGAACCUGGUCCUCAUAAUAUCUAUCUUAUACAGGAGCAAGAAAAGGGUUGGACUACACACACACACUCACUUGAGAUUUGUUGUUGGGUUGAAUAAGUUUACAAGGAAUACUUGAAGUUAUUAUUACUGUGCAUUGAAAUAAGACCUCGAGGGAGACAUAAGCUUUUAUUUAAAUUGUCAAAUAUUGAUCCUUUUGUUGCUGCCAUGUCUAUGCGUUUUGCUUGAGGACAAGCAAAGAUUCAAGUGUGGGGGAGUUUGAUGAGUCAUUUAUUGACUAUUUUAAUAUGAUUUUUAGUUUAGUUUUAUUUAGAUUUUAUUUUAUUAUAUAUUAGUAUUAUUUCCUUUUUAGGAUAGUUUACUACAAAUUGCAUUUUAUUUUAUUUCAGGAAUGAAUAUUGGAUGGAUUGAGUCUUGGAGCAAAAGAAAGGGACUUGGAGCCGAUUGGAUGCAAAAAUAUGAAGAUUGAGAGACAAAAAUAUGUCUCCCCCAAGUCAGAAGCUUGGCACGGCCCGUGCUAGCCUUGGCACGGCCGUGCCUCCCUCCAGAGUCACUUUUGCUGCUUUUUGCUUAGAUUUUAAGCUACUCUAUUUUUAGCCCGAAUGUAAUAGCUUAGAUU